rnacentral:rRNA from 1 species
UGGGGAAUAUUGCACAAUGGGGGAAACCCUGAUGCAGCGACGCCGCGUGGAGGAAGAAGUAUUUCGGUACGUAAACUCCUAUCAGCAGGGAAGAAAAUGACGGUACCUGACUAAGAAGCCCCGGCUAACUACGUGCCAGCAGCCGCGGUAAUACGUAGGGGGCGAGCGUUAUCCGGAUUCACUGGGUGUAAAGGGAGCGUAGACGGCGAUGCAAGCCUGAUGUGAAAACCCGCAGCUCAACUGCGGGCCUGCAUUGGGAACUGUAUAGCUGGAGUACUGGAGGGGCAGGCGGAAUUCCUGGUGUAGCGGUGGAAUGCGUAGAUAUCAGGAAGAACACCGGUGGCGAAGGCGGCCUGCUGGACAGAUACUGACGUUGAGGCUCGAAAGCGUGGGGAGCAAACAGG